AGUUUAGUUGUAGGCCCGUUGUUGAAGAUGUUUGGUGAUUCAGGUGUUUUUGAGCUCUCUUGGUGGCCAGUGGCGCUUUGUUUGGUGAUUCAGGUGUAUCUGAGCUCUCUUGGUGGCCAGUGGCGCUUUGUUUGGUUAUUCAGGUGUUUCUCAGCUCUCUUGGUCGCCAGUGGCGCUUUGUUUGGUGAUUCAGGUGUAUCUGAGCUCUCUUGGUCGCCAGUGGCGCUUUGUUUGGUGAUUCAGGUGUUUCUGAGCUCUCUUGGUGGCCAGUGGUGCUUUGUUUGGUGAUUCAGGUGUAUCUGAGCUCUCUUGGUGGCCAGUGGCGCUUUGUUUGGUUAUUCAGGUGUUUCUCAGCUCUUUUGGUGGCCAGUGGUGCUUUGUUUGGUGAUUCAGGUGUUUCUCAGCUCUCUUGGUGGCCAGUGGCGCUUUGUUUGGUGAUUCAGGUGUUUCUCAGCUCUCUUGGUGGCCAGUGGUGCUUUGUUUGGUGAUUCAGGUGUUUCUGAGCUCUCUUGGUCGCCAGUGGCGCUUUGUUUGGUGAUUCAGGUGUAUCUGAG